CUGACGCCUGGUGGCGUUGGGGGCAGGGCCCCGCCCGAAGGCCGCCUCAGGCUGGCGUCAGCCUGCCUCGGCCGUGGCGGCGUGAGCCGUGUCGGGGCGUGCGGAGUUGGCCGGCGGUGGUCGAGUCAGUCGGAGCCUGAGCUCGGGAGCGGCUCGAGCCGCUCCUUGGAAAUGUUAGUCUGUCUUGUUCCUGCAUUCUGUCAAGAGUACUUUGUACAGUUACUCCUGCCUGGCUUGAAGUCUGGUGGAUGAAGAGGAACCUUUUAGCCCAAAAUAUUGGAGAAUUUUUCUUCUGGAAGUGUAAUGUUACUUACAACUCAUUUUAAAAAGCUUUGUGUGACGUAUCUUUUCUCAUUGUCUUUGCAAUUGAUAAAAAAAUGGAACUGAUGCAUUUGUAACUGGCAUUGAAGAACUGUCAUAAUAUGAGAGUCCAUGUCUUGCUAUUCUCAGUGUAGGCCCUACAGAGGCAUCGGAUACAAUGACAGCAGUCUCUUCAUAUAGUAACAAAACUGAGACAUACAGUUGAGGAAAGGAGAUACUGAUUAAAAAAAAGAUGUAAUUGUAGAAAGCAUCCUGUUUUGGAGGAGCACUCAUUUUCCUCAGGUUGAUUAAGAAUGAGAGGAAAGAGUGUUUCCCCUUUGGGAUGUAUUUAUUUUAAGUAGUGAAGUCUAAAACUCAUGAAUUAUCUAACUUUUUAAACCUUUUUGGUAUUAGGUGAAAUUUUGGGGCUGUGUGUAAUAGAAGGUACUACAGCUACAUUUUGAUAAAUCCAGCUAUGCAUGACAGAUUAUUGAACAGUAUGUGAGUUUCCAAUCCUGUGUAUGUUUAGUGCAUAAAAAUAUGCCCAGUGCUGGGCAGUUAUUUAUUGAUAUAACUAUAGUUUGUACUGGUUGAAAUAUUUAAAUAAUAUGAUUGUUCAGUCAAAUCAGGAUUAGUCUCUUAAUAAUUCAGAAAAUAUUGGAACUGUUUGUUUUGGGUAUUUUUUUAACUUGGAGAUUUAACUUAGAUUCACCAGGAGACUUAAUGAAGUUGGAUUGGUGAAUGAUACUGUGCUUUCAAAAGAGAUGUGGCAGAACUAUGUUUGAAUCCAUUUUGUGCUUAAUUCAAAACGAACACUUAAAAAUUACUCUUGUACUGUUUGGAUGAAUUUUCCUAACAAUGCCACUGUGGGUUUCCUGUUUGUUGAAACUUUUCAAUGUUUAAUUAAAUAAAUAUGGUGAAUAAA